rnacentral:misc_RNA from 1 species
GGGAAAUAAGAAUUGCUAAUGGUGAAGGCAUCAAAAUUCUAGAAUGCCAAAACAACAAGAACAAAGUAUUGCAUCCAUAAGACACAUAAAUUACAACUAUAAUCCUCCUUUCCAUUGAACAUUUCUCAUGUUUAUCCAGGUUGCUUCCACCCACAAUCAUUGAACUUACCAUUAAAUCCCAUCAAAAUCAUUAAAUUUUUAUUAAUUCUUAACCACCACUAAACUUUCAUACAUGUGACCAUAAAAUCACUUGGGCCAAAUUCUGACUCAAAUUGAAAAUUUGACACGAAAACAAUAUUGAAAAUUUUCAAAAGUAUUUAGCACGUUUAGUGGGCUAUCCAAGACAACAAUAUUAAAAUUUAUUAAUUGAGUGACAUUGGUGGGAUUUAGUGCCUAGCUUAGUAGUUUAGUAGCUACAGAUGAAAUUUACCCCGUUGACUCCCCCUUUAUGAGCAAAUACUUUACCCUCAAAUUCAAUAUGCAAGUAACAUACUACCAUCAUAGUUAUUAAAGGCACGCCUUAAGCUUCAACCCAAGCGCCUCUAAAAGAGAAAGAUAGGUGACAUUCACCAUACUCUUGCCUUAUGCACCUUGUUUCAAGCGCAAGGCUCUAAAAAGGUGCGCCUUUUUUAUUUCCACCUUCAACAAGUACUGCCAUUGACAAAAAAUACUACCACUAAAUAUGAAAUUUGUCGACCUACCAGAUUUCGAUAUUGACGCACUAAGAAGUUUUCAAAAUGAGUAUCAUCGGUAAUAACUAGUCGCAAAAAUCUCAUCAAAUCGCUACACGGUACACCUAAGAUCGCAAAACCUUCUAUAUUUCCAUUUUUAAAACUACCCACUCUUAUUAUCUUUUUUUUUUUUAAAUAAUGUUACUUAUACACCUAUUUCAAGAUAUAUACU